UGGUUCAGUGGUAGAAUUCUCGUCUUCCAUGUGGGAGACCUGGGUUCAAUUCCCAG
rnacentral:tRNA from 1 species